rnacentral:rRNA from 1 species
UUGAAUUAAUUUAUUUAUUAAUUUUAAUGUUGUUUCUUUUUUAUUGAAUAAAAUUAUAUUUUUUUUAUUAUCAUUUAGAAAAAUUUUUAUUAAUAAUAGUUUAUUAGUACUGUAAAGGAAUUAUUUUUAAUGUUAAAAAGAAGAAUUUAUUUUUCGUACCUUGUGUAUCAGGGUUUAUUAAAAUUUUUUUUGGAUAUAUAAUUCUCGAAUUUAAAAUAGCUAAAUUAGUAUCAAUUUUAUUGUUUCAUAAAUAUUUUUAAUACUAUUCUGGGGGUGAAAUGCUAUUCGUUUUUAAAUAUAUCUGGUUUUUAAAGAAACAAAUUAAAUUUGAUUUAUUUUAAUAUAAAGAAUUAUUUUUUUCUUCUGUUAUUAUAAUUUUAUAUUUUUGGGGAUUAGCUUGAACUUAAAUUUCUAUUAAUUUUAUUUUAUUUAGAAAAAUAGGAUUAGAAUUUUUCAUUUUUAAAAGUAUUUUAUAAUUUUUCUAGUUUAUAUUGUUAUUUAUUUUUUUUAUAGGUUUUUUAUUUAAAUUUUAAAAUAAAUUUUUAUUUUUAAGUAAUAAUGAUUGAAUUAGUAAAUUUAUUUGUAUAAUAUCCAAAAAAAAUUAUAUUGGUUUUAGGAAUUCGGCAAUAAGUUUUUUACCUGUUUAAUAAAAACAUGUCUUCUUGAUUAUAAUUUGAAGUCUGACCUGCUCUAUGAUUUUUAAAUGGCCGCAGUAUUUUGACUGUGCUAAGGUAGCAUAAUAAUUAGUUUCUUAAUUAGAAGCUUGUAUGAAUGGUUUGAUAAAAAAACUUCUAUCUUAAAUUAAUUUUAUUUGAAUUUUAUCUUUAAGUAAAAAAGCUUAAAUUUUUUUAGGGGACGAGAAGACCCUAUAGAAUUUAAUAAUUUUUUAUUUUAAAUUUUUUUAGAAUUUAUUUUUUAAUUUGAAGUAUUAUUUAGUUGGGGUGACUGAAAAAUUUAAUGAACUUUUUUUUAUUAAAACUUUUUAAUUGAAUUAUUGAUCCGAUUUAUCGAUUUCAAGAAAAAAUUACCUUAGGGAUAACAGCGUUAUAAUUUUUUAGAGUUCUUAUCGAAAAAAUUGAUUGCGACCUCGAUGUUGGAUUAGAAUUUCUAUUUGGUGCAGAAGCUAAAAUAGAGGGUCUGUUCGACCUUUAAAUUUCUACAUGAUCUGAGUUUAAACCGGCGUGAGCCAGGUUGGUUUCUAUCUUUAAAAUUUUUAUAUGUUUUAGUACGAAAGGAUUUUACAUUUAGU